rnacentral:rRNA from 1 species
AUUGAACGCUGGCGGCAUGCUUUACACAUGCAAGUCGAACGGUAACAGGGAGCUUGCUCCGCUGACGAGUGGCGAACGGGUGAGUAAUGCGUCGGAACGUGCCGAGUAGUGGGGGAUAACGCAUCGAAAGGUGUGCUAAUACCGCAUACGAACUGAGGUUGAAAGAGGGGGACCUUCGGGCCUCACGCUAUUCGAGCGGCCGACGUCUGAUUAGCUAGUUGGUGAGGUAAAGGCUCACCAAGGCGACGAUCAGUAGCGGGUCUGAGAGGAUGGUCCGCAACACUGGGACUGAGACACGGCCCAGACUCCUACGGGAGGCAGCAGUGGGGAAUUUUGGACAGUGGGCGGAAGCCUGAUCCAGCCAUGCCGCGUGUCUGAAGAAGGCCUUCGGGUUGUAAAGGACUUUUGUCCGGGAGCAAAUGCUGGUGGCUAACAUCCACCGGAGCUGAGAGUACCGGAAGAAUAAGCACCGGCUAACUACGUGCCAGCCGCCGCCGUAAUAC